AUUGAACGCUGGCGGCGUGCUUUACACAUGCAAGUCGGACGAGUGGCGAACGGGUGAGUAACGCAUCGGAACGUACCGAGUAAUGGGGGAUAACUGUCGGAAAGUACAGCCACUACCGCACAUUAUACGAGCGGCCGAGGUCUGAUUAGCUGGGUGGGGGGGUAAAGGCCCACCAAGGCGACGAUCAGUAGCGGGUCGGAGAGGAUGAUCAGCCACACUGGAACUGAGACACGGUCCAGACUCCUACGGGAGGCAGCAGUGGGGAAUAUUGGACAAUGGGCGCAAGCCUGAUCCAGCCAUGCCGCGUGUCUGAAGAAGGCCUUCGGAUUGUAAAGGACUUUUGUCAGGGAGGCGGUACCUGCAGAAUAAGCACCGGCUAACUCCGUGCCAGCAGCCGCGGUAAUUC
rnacentral:rRNA from 1 species